ensembl:lncRNA
CUUCACAAGGGCUGCGAUUCAGCCGGCAAACGCGGAAGGGAGCUCCAGAGGCCGGCAGCACUGGCGGCGAUAUCCCCGGUGCCGCUGAGGCCUGGGCAGGCCUGCUCCUGCUGAAGAUUGGAUCUGCAGUGUUUUGGGAAGCGGCCUGGCGCCGCAAUGGGGGCGUUGGUAUGGUUGCUCGUUCGGGUCGACCAGCAUCUCCCCGCGCCCAUCCAUAUGUGUGAUUUUGGAGCGGGCAGAGAAAAGGUCUUGCACGCCGAAGCGCUGUUGGCUCGGCAGCCAGGCUCUUGGGUCACUGUCUGGGGCGUUCGUUUUCUUGCCGCGAUAACCCCGCUCCAGGCUGCGGUGUCUGGCCAGCCCGCGUGAGUCCUGCUCGGAGAGCUCGUUGGCGGGCGCGCCGGGGCCCCGUCUCCGGGCCUGAACGCGUCCUGCUCUUGCUUGAGUUGAACGGGCAGGCUUGCGUGGCAAGGCCGGGCCGUGUCUUUAGGAGCUGGAGAGCGGUCGGGACGUUUUCUCUGGUCUUGUGUACCGCCUGGGCUAUAGCUGGCGGCUGAGGCUGACCGUGCCCCGCGGGAUGUUCUGGGCCACAUUGUUCGGUUUUCCCGUUUUGGUUGUGAGUUGCCGUGUCUCCGGCGGCUACCGCGCUGGGUUCCCCGGCCGUCUCUGGAUUCCCUCCCACCUCCCCGGGAGUGAGGACGGAACGAACGCACGGAGCAAGGCGGCUCUCGCCGCCUGGGGCUCAAGUCCGCAGCAGAGUCGGGAGGCGGGGAAGCUGCUCCCCGACGCCCACUGUCGUUUCUCCGGGCUCUGCGAUCGUCCGAGGCCGGGCUGCGUCUUCACGGGGCCCGUCUGUGGUCCCUUCUGCUCCCUUUGCGGCCUUGGAUCGCACACUAAUGGCUUCCCUCACCGCGGGUGAUAGUAGGGAACGUGGCCCAAUGGCCGGCUCCAGUCCUGCCUGGGCUUUGAGGUCAGAAGCGCCGAACAGAUGUGACACAGAAAGCGUCCAGGGCCGUGCGUUGGAGGAUGCUGGGGGCGCGGUCUUUAGUUAGAAGAGCCUCUGAACAGGGGAGGAUGGGGCGGAGAGAAAUGCAGCCUCCGGCGGACUCGGAGGGAACGGGUGCGGAGUGGUCAUGCUGUGCCUUCCCCCUGCGAUUCGGAUUUGUCCUGGUGGCGUUUAUGCUGUUAAGUUGCAGCUGGGUCAUCGCCGUCGACCAGAUGGCCAGACAACUUUGGCGCUUUAUCAAAAAUUUGCUAUAAUACAGGUUUGGGAAGUGAGCAGGCAAUGGCAACCCACUCCAAUAUUCUUGCCUGGAAAUUCCCAGGGGCGGAGGAGCCUAGUAGGCUGCAGUACACGGGAUCGCACAGAGUCGGACAGGACUGACUUCACUUUCACUUUUCACUUUCAUGCAUUGAAGAAAAUAGCAACCCAUCCCACUGUUCUUGCCGGGAGAAUCCCAGGGAGGGGGGAGCCUGGUGGGCUGCCAUCUGCUGGGUCGCACAGAGUCGGACACGACUGAAGCGACGUAGGAGCAGCAGCAGGUUUUAGUAGAUGACAGUAAAAUCCAUAAUGAAAAUUACUAUUAUCGUUGUUACUGGACGUUACUGUAAUUAUUACAGUUGUCUGUAAUUAUAAAGUUUAUCUACAGAACAGCUGCUCAGUUGAAGAUGACCCACGAGGAGUUUCAGUAUGUCUAAAUAUGGGAGAAAACUACAACCCACGAGGCCUUUCCCCCUGCCCCCUGGCAACCAUUGUGGAAAUCCACAUCCCCAAACUGCCGCAUUAGGCGUCAAGGUCCCGUCUGGGUCAGUGACUUUCCUCCCAUGUGUUUUUCAUUUAGAAACAAAUCGGUGGGAACAUGUUCCUCUAAGCAAUCCCAGGGCCGCCUCUCUUCCCCGCAGCCUGCCUCCAGCUUCCCUACGUCGCAAGCUCUGAGCAGGACAUGCCUUCCUGGUUUGCUACCACUCCUCUGCGUACCCCUAGCCUCAGCCUAAUGCAAGUGGUGCUGGCUGACCCCUUGCAACGCAAAUAGUAGCGAGGAAAGGCACGUCCUGGUCUGUAUUUUAAGAUCUUUAUGAACAUGAUAAUGGAAGCGUAGUUGAGUGAGGAACAUGGGUAACAGGGUCAGCGAUUUCUUUACUAAAGCUGUUCAAGGAGGGGAGAGAGGCUCAAGAAGCAAGUGAUAGACAAAUAUAUACAUACAGUCAAUAAUUAUGGCUAAUUUGCAUUGUAUGGCAGAAACCAACACAAAAUGGUAAAACAAUUUUCCACCAAUUAAAAUUUUUAAAGGAACAAUACUAAAGCUAUUCCAAUGCCUUUUGUAUGCAAAGAGUAUCCACGUUACUCUGCAUUUUUUCCGUAGAAUUCUAAAACUGGCAUGACGAGGUUUCUUGACAUCUUCAAAACAUUGCUUUCUAGAAACAUCCAUUUAUGUAUGUGUACUGCUCACUAGCCUUCAUUUAAUUACCAUACUUUGAAAAAAAUUUAAUGUGGAAAGAAUUGUUUUAUUUUUUGCUUUGAGACCAAUAUUUUGUGUUUUUAUUCAUUACGGAAUCUCACCUCCGUGUCCUCCGAUGGACAGUCGAUAGACUCAAAGGGAUCAUUCAGCAGCUGUGGAACUUUUUCUCUGAGUAGCUCCCUCCUUUCUGAUGCCCUGCCACACAGAUCAUCGCCUCGGUGGCCUCCCAGCUCACCCGUGUUCUCAAUCCAGAUUCUGCCAGAAUGUUCAUGGGCUCCUCUGCCUGCAGUUGCACCGUGAAGACCGCCUGAAAGCAGAGAGCGGAGUCGUCAGGAAGGGGAACCCUCUGCAGGGCCCUAGAGUGGGCUCACACGUGCUGACAAAGCAAGAGACUUGGCUGGAGGGGCGCCCGGGAGGACAGCAGCAGGGGCAUGGAGGAGAAAUAUACUUUCAUGUUUGCUUACCAGGAACUCUAGAAGGACCCGUAAGAAACAAACUACUACCUGUGGAGGGCAGAUGGCCCUGGACACACAGGCUCAACGAUAGGAGGCACAAAUUAAGGCAAGUAUAUAAUAUCUCUCUAUUAUAACCUCUUUGGAAUUUUCCGUAAGUUGAAUUUUUUUAACCUCCAAAGAAUACAAUGCAUUGUGCUGUUGUUAUGUUUCGAUAGUUGCUGUUUUUACCAAUGAAUGGAUUUCUGGUUUGUUUUUCCAAGGCUGCUGUUGGGCUUCUCUAAAAUGUUUGUUCAUGAGUUUUUUCUGGUGGUUUUGAUGUUUUUAUUUUAACUUUGGUAAAGAAAAAGAUUUUUCUCAACACCGAGGUGGUUCAUCCUUUUCUUUCUUCCUCCUUUCGGAUACUUUGCAUACUUUGUGGGUUUGGGCACUAUUUUCAUAACUUUUGUUUGCAAGAAAGAGGAUAAAGCUUCGCUAGUUUGCUAGGGUCGCCAGAAUAAAACACGGCCGCCUGAGGCUUAAAUAACAGCGCUGCAUCCAGGUUAUCCAGCCUCAGAGCAUCCGGCUGUGCAGAGCUCUCUCCCGCAGUGCUCUGCUUUGUGUAUCAGCAGUUAUGUUUCCUCUGCUGUUACUGAUUUUAGUUGUCUUUUCUCUUAGUCAAUGUAGCUAAAGAUUUGUUACUUAUGUCAACCUGGUUGAAGUAACUUUUGUUUUAAAUUGAUUUCUUUGGUUUUCCUCUUCUGUGUAUUUAUCUGAGAGCUAAUCUUUACUAUUUUCCUUCCUCCUUCUAGCUUUGAGUUUGGUUUGGUCUCCCUUUUCUGCCUAGGUGUAAAGAUAGGUUGCUUAUUUGAGCUUUCUUUUAAACGUAUGCAUUACCAGCUUUACAUUUCAUUGUUGAUGUUUUUGCAGAAUCCCGUAUAUUUUGGUAUGUUCUGUUUACAUUUCGAUUUGUCUCCAGGUAUUUUCUAAGUUCCUUUCUUAUUACUAUUACUUUUUAGCCUACUGGUUAUGUAAGAGUGUGUUUAAUCUUCACAUAUUGUGGAUUUUCCCACCUUUCCUUCUACUAUUAACUUUUCGUUUCAUUGCAUUGUGACAGGAAACAGUGCCUUUGCAGGAUUUGAGUCUAUUUAUAGUGGACUUAUUUUCUGGCCUAACAUGUGGUCAAUUUUGGAGAAUGUUCCCCGUGCACUUGUGAAAAGUAUGGAGUCUGUCUGUCUCUGCCCGGGUCACACGUGCCCUAGGAGCACGGUUCUCAGGGGUCACCUCUCACUGUCGGGCGCGGCUGUUGGGUCGGGCGGCCAUUUUCAUGCAUUACUAACAGGGGAGAUCACUGGGACAAAAGGGAUGCCUUUCUGUCAGCCGCUGACUCUGAGUACCCCAUUCUAUGGCAGAUAGGACAAGAGUGCGCUCUGGUACGUCCUGGGAUCCUCUCUCAGACUCACCCCUUGGCUACAUUCUCAGAAACUGGAAAAUUUAGCCCUGCAAAAGGUCUGGCCCAAAUACAAACUCAGUUCAGUUCAGUCGUUCAGUCGUCUCCAACUCUUUGUGACCCCAUGGACUGCAGCAUGCCAGGCCUCCCUGUCCAUCAACAACUCCCGGAGCUUACUGAAACUCAUGUCCAUCGAGUUGGUGAUGCCAUCCAACCAUCUCAUCCUCU